rnacentral:rRNA from 1 species
GAUGAACGCUAGCUACAGGCUUAACACAUGCAAGUCGAGGGGCAGCAUGACCUAGCAAUAGGUUGAUGGCGACCGGCGCACGGGUGAGUAACACGUAUCCAACCUGCCGAUUAUUCCGGGAUAGCCUUUCGAAAGAAAGAUUAAUACUGGAUAGCAUAACGAGAAGGCAUCUUCUUGUUAUUAAAGAAUUUCGAUAAUCGAUGGGGAUGCGUUCCAUUAGUUUGUUGGCGGGGUAACGGCCCACCAAGACAUCGAUGGAUAGGGGUUCUGAGAGGAAGGUCCCCCACAUUGGAACUGAGACACGGUCCAAACUCCUGCGGGAGGCAGCAGUGAGGAAUAGUGGUCAAUGGACGAGAGUCUGAACCAGCCAAGUAGCGUGAAGGAUGACUGCCAUAUGGGGUGUAAACUUCUUUGAAAUGGGAAUAAAGUGGGCCACGUGUGGCUUUUUGUAUGUACCAUACGAAUAAGGAUCGGCUAACUCCGUG